rnacentral:lncRNA from 1 species
CUAGAUCUUGCAACUUUUGGUGUUGGAAGGAUAAAGAAAAUAUUGAUCCGAGGUCGAAAUUUGUGAUUCCUAAACUAAUACAGAAAUUGGGUGAGCUUGAGAAUAUAGUAGAAUCCUCUCAAACCUCAGCCACUGCAUUUGAAUUGAUUGAGGUUACUGAAGAAGUUGACAAGCCGGGAGAUUUCAAACAAGAUGAUGAUUGUCUAGGUAUGAAAUUGAAAAUGUUGCAAGAAGAGGUUGAGAAGAUGAAAGUGAUGC